AAAGUCGUAACAAGGUUUCCGUAGGUGAACCUGCGGAAGGAUCAUUAAAUGAUAAGCUGCAUGCUAUGCAUGUGACUCGCUAUCAUAAACCACCGCGUAUCGUACCUGUUGCUUUCGUGAGGCGCUGGGUUGCAUUUUAUUAUCAGCCAGGCCGCCCAACGUGAUUGAUAUCCUAUGUGUCCUAUUCAUUUUGGUGUUUUCGGGUCAUCUUUCGAUACCCCUCCAUAAUCGAUUCUGGCUGUGGUUUAUCAAUCAUUAAUUGGGCGAGUCUUCGCGAAAGGUCUACUUUUAAAAACAUUUUUGAAAACUUGUAUGGUCUGAAUACGAAAUUCAAUAUAAUCUAUUGAAAAAAAUCUUUAAAACUUUCAACAACGGAUCUCUUGGUUCUC
rnacentral:misc_RNA from 1 species